AGGGUUUGAUUAUGGCUCAGAACGAACGCUGGCGGCGUGCUUAACACAUGCAAGUCGAGUGCGCGUCUGUAGCAAUACAGAUGGCGCACGGCGCACGGGUGCGUAACACGUGGGCAAUCUGCCCUUCGAUGGGGAAUAACUCCGGGAAACCGAAGCUAAUUCCGCAUAACAUUCCUUGGACCUCGGUUCGAGGACUCAAAGCCGUAAGGCGUCGAAGGAGGAGCCCGCGCCCGAUUAGCUAGUUGGUGAGGUAACGGCUCACCAAGGCAAUGAUCGGUAGCUGGUCUGAGAGGAUGGCCAGCCACACUGGAACUGAGACACGGUCCAGACUCCUACGGGAGGCAGCAGUGGGGAAUCUUGCGCAAUGGGCGAAAGCCUGACGCAGCGACGCCGCGUGGGGGAUGAAGCAUCUCGGUGUGUAAACCCCUUUCGACUGGGACGAAUACCUCGCAAGAGGGGUGACGGUACCAGUAGAAGAAGCCCCGGCUAACUACGUGCCAGCAGCCGCGGUAAGACGUAGGGGGCCAGCGUUGUUCGGAAUUACU
rnacentral:rRNA from 1 species